GUUUCAGACUGCAGAGAACCUGAUUGGAGGUUCCUUAGGAAGCAGCAAUUUGGGUAAUUUCAGAAAAUGCUUUUUCCAUACUUACAGAUGCAGCAUAACUUUACACAGGCCACAGUAAAACUGAAAGUGGGUUGUCUGACUGUCCAGUUUCUGCAGUGUUACUUGUGAGCCCCAGGUGCAGCUGAUUUCAUUUUAAUAAGCUAGAGCAUCUGGAAAGAGUUCUAUACUACAGCUAAAUCUGAAAACUGACAGAGAAGGAAUUAUUUCAGAAGAUAAGGCUGCACUCCAAAGACAGGCCUCCUCCUUUGCUAAAAGCUCUCUUUGUGUGCUCAAAUUGAAGAAUGAGAAUGUACAAGAUGGAAGAUCAGCAUGGAGGACAUCUUUUGCAGCGCUGAAUCAGAGGUGGGAGAUGUACUCUACCCGAGAAAAGUUUCUCUCAUGGAGGACAGAAGUGUUGGUGAAUGUAGGGUGUGUUUGAGAUUUUAAAGGGGAGAUGGGCUAUCUGUUGCUGUGUGUAAAACUGGAGGAAGAAAAUAUGUCCCAGCUCAGACUAUGCUCAAUAGAGGGAGAGACCAGUUCCCAGUUCCCAGCUAGGUCCAGCCUAUUAUUUCCAUUUAUUAAUUAGGUGAAUAAUAUCCUAUUAUUAGGUCCAGCAGAAUUAUUUAGGCUGGCACCCAGUGCAGGAUAUUAGAGAGCAGUUAAAUCCUCUCAGAGAGCUUCG
rnacentral:lncRNA from 1 species